rnacentral:rRNA from 1 species
AACGAACGCUGGCGGCAUGCCUAACACAUGCAAGUCGAACGAGACCUUCGGGUCUAGUGGCGCACGGGUGCGUAACGCGUGGGAACCUGCACUUAGGUUCGGAAUAACUCCCCGACAGGGGUGCUAAUACCGGAUAAUGUCUUCGGACCAAAGAUUUAUCGCCUUUGGAUGGGCCCGCGUUGGAUUAGCUAGUUGGUAGGGUAAAAGCCUACCAAGGCGACGAUCCAUAGCUGGUCUGAGAGGAUGGUCAGCCACACUGGGACUGAGACACGGCCCAGACUCCUACGGGAUGCAGCAGUGGGGAAUAUUGGAAAAUGGGCGAAAGCCUGAUCCAGCAAUGCCGCGUGAGUGAUGAAGGCCUUAGGGUUGUAAAGCUCUUUUACCCGGGAUGAUAAUGACAGUACCUGGAGAAUAAGCCCCGGCUAACUCCGUG